rnacentral:rRNA from 1 species
GGAGGAAAAGAAACCAACAGGGAUUGCCUCAGUAACGGCGAGUGAAGCGGCAACAGCUCAAAUUUGAAAUCUGGCGCAAGCCCGAGUUGUAAUUUGUAGAGGAUGCUUCUGGGUCGCGGCCGGUCUAAGUUCCUUGGAACAGGACGUCACAGAGGGUGAGAAUCCCGUAUGUGAUCGGCUUGCACCCUCCACGUAGCUCCUUCGACGAGUCGAGUUGUUUGGGAAUGCAGCUCUAAAUGGGAGGUAAAUGUCUUCUAAAGCUAAAUACCGGCCAGAGACCGAUAGCGCACAAGUAGAGUGAUCGAAAGAUGAAAAGCACUUUGGAAAGAGAGUUAAAAAGCACGUGAAAUUGUUGAAAGGGAAGCGCAUGCAACCAGACUUGUCGGCGGUGUUCCGCCGGUCUUCUGACCGGUCUACUCGCCGCCGACAGGCCAGCAUCGUCUGGGCGCGCCGGAGAAAGGCGCCGGGAAUGUAGCUCCUCGGAGUGUUAUAGCCCGGCGCACAAUACGGCGCCGCCCGGGCGAGGUCCGCGCUUCGGCUAGGAUGCUGGCGUAAUGGUUGCCUGCGACCCGUCUUGAAACACGGACCAAGGAGUCGACCAUCUGUGCGAGUGUUCGGGUGUCAAACCCCUACGCGUAAUGAAAGUGAACGGAGGUGGGAACGCAAGUGCACCAUCGACCGAUCCUGAUGUCCUCGGAUGGAUUUGAGUAAGAGCAUAGCUGGUCGGACCCGAAAGAUGGUGAACUAUGCCUGAAUAGGGUGAAGCCAGAGGAAACUCUGGUGGAGGCUCGCAGCGGUUCUGACGUGCAAAUCGAUCGUCAAAUUUGGGUAUAGGGGCGAAAGACUAAUCGAACCAU